CACCGCGAGGAGGGGCAGCAGGAGAGGGUCGGUGUUCCACGGCGAGCCCGCUGAGGCCGCAGCUCCGCUGGGCGCGACCGCAUCGCAUUGCCCGGCAGCCCGCAGGUGACGGGGAGGGGAAGCUCGCCCCAAAUCUAUCCCGGGAUCCCCGGAAUUCCCAUUGCCAGACUUUGGCUGGAUGGAGGAAGAGAAGGCUGUGAGGACGAGGAAGUUGUCCCGGGAACCCCAGGCAGGCGUCUUCCAGAGCCAAAUGGUGACUGAGUGGGACAAAAAAUGAAGAUUUUGGAGACAAUGGAGUGGAAACUCCUCUAAGAAGGGUUCUUUCCAGCCACCCAAGCACAUGGAUACUCAGCCAGCAUGGACACAUAAAUCCUUUUAUUGUGGCCUUGAUUUUCUUUCGUUGUUCAUUGUUCAUUGUUCAUUGUUCGUUGUUCAUUGUUCUUCAUCCUUUCACCCAACACUGGGGUAAAAAUAAAAACCUUGAU